rnacentral:rRNA from 1 species
CCUGAGAAACGGCUACCACAUCCAAGGAAGGCAGCAGGCGCGCAAAUUACCCACUCCCGGCACGGGGAGGUAGUGACGAAAAAUAACGAUACGGGACUCAUCCGAGGCCCCGUAAUCGGAAUGAGUACACUUUAAAUCCUUUAACGAGGAUCUAUUAGAGGGCCAGUCUGGUGCCAGCAGCCGCGGUAACUCCAGCUCUAAUAGCGUAUAUUAAAGUUGUUGCGGUUAAAAAGCUCGUAGUUGAAUCUGUGUCCCACACUGUCGGUUCACCGCUCGCGGUGUUCAACUGGCAUGUCUGUGGGACGUCCUACCGGUGGGCUUAGCCCGUCAAAAGGCGGCCCAACUCAAAAUCCUACCACGGUGCUCUUCACCGAGUGUCGAGGUGGGCCGGUACGUUUACUUUGAACAAAUUAGAGUGCUUAAAGCAGGCUCAUUCGCCUGAAUAUUGUGUGCAUGGAAUAAUGGAAUAGGACCUCGGUUCUAUUUUGUUGGUUUUCGGAAUUCCGAGGUAAUGAUUAAUAGGGACAACUGGGGGCAUUCGUAUUGUGACGUUAGAGGUGAAAUUCUUGGAUCGUCGCAAGACGGACAGAAGCGAAAGCAUUUGCCAAAUGUGUUUUCAUCAAUCAAGAACGAAAGUUAGAUUUUCGAAGGCGAUCAGAUACCGCCCUAGUUCUAACCAUAAACGAUGCCAGCUAGCGAUCCGCCGAAGUUCCUCCGAUGACUCGGCGGGCAGCUUCCGGGAAACCAAAGCUUUUGGGUUCCGGGGGAAGUAUGGUUGCAAAGCUGAAACUUAAAGGAAUUGACGGAAGGGCACCACCAGGAGUGGAGCCUGCGGCUUAAUUUGACUCAACACGGGAAACCUCACCAGGCCCGGACACCGGAAGGAUUGACAGAUUGAGAGCUCUUUCUUGAUUCGGUGGGUGGUGGUGCAUGGCCGUUCUUAGUUGGUGGAGCGAUUUGUCUGGUUAAUUCUGAUAACGAACGAGACUCUAGCCUGCUAAAUAGGCGUACUUUCCGGUAUCUCGAAGGCCCGCCGGCUGGGUUUCGGCCCGUGCUCGUGUGUGGUUUUUACUACCGGCGUACACAUAUAUCUUCUUAGAGGGACAGGUGGCAUUUAGUCGCACGAAAUUGAGCAAUAACAGGUCUGUGAUGC